rnacentral:rRNA from 1 species
ACUCUCGGCAAUGGAUAUCUCGGUUCUUGAAUCGAUGAAGAACAUAGCGAAAUAUGAUACAUGGUGUGAAUUACAGAAUCCUGUGAACCAUCGAGUCUUUGAACGCAAGUUGCGCCCAAAGCCAUUAGGCCGAGGGAACGUCUGCCUGGGCAUCACGCAUCCCAUCGCCCCUUCGCAUCGCGCCUCCAUCACGGGGUGCGCUGUCGUCACGGGGCGGAUACUGGCCUCCCGUGCGCCUCGCGCUCGCUGCUGGCCUAAAUACUAGUCCACAUCAACGGACGUUGCGGCAAAUGAUGGUUGCAACUCAACUCUCUUUGCCAUCGCGGCUACGUCCCGUCGAGCGUCCCGAACUCCAGGACCCCUUCGCACUCAGGCUCUCCGACCGCAACCCCAGGUCAGGCGUGAUUACCCGCUGAGUUUAAGCAUAGCAAUAAACGGAGAAAAAGAAACUUACAAGGAUUCCCGUAGUAACGGCGAGCGAACCAAGAACAGCCCAGCCUUAGAAUCGAGCGGCUCCGUCAUUCGAAUUAUAGUCUGGAGAGACAUCGUCAGCGGCGGACCAGGCCCAAGUCCCCAGGAAGGGGGCUCCAGAGAGGGUGGGAGACUCGUUGUACCCGGACCAUGUCGCACCACGAGGCGCUAUCUAUGAGUCGGGUUGAUAGGAAUGUAGCCCAAAUCAGGCGGUGAAUUCCGUCCAAGGCUAAAUACGGGCGAGAGACCGAUAGUGAACAAGUACCGCGAGGGAAAGUUAAAAAGGACUUUGAAAAGAGAGUCAAAGAGUGCUUGAUAUUGUCGGGAGGGAAGUGGAUGGGGGCCGGCGAUGCGCCCCGAGAAGGAUGUAGAACGACGAUGAGUCGGUCUGCCGAUCGACUCGGGGCGUGGACCAGCGUCGAUUGGGGGGGCGAACAAAGCCCGGGCUCUCGAUAUGCUUGUGGAAUGCCGUCUCCUCGAUUGAGGCAGGAAGCACGCGCCUCCGGCAUUCUUCGGUAUCUGCGCGCUCUGGAUGCUGGCCUGUGGGCACCCCAUUUGACCCGUCUUGAAACAUUGACCAAGGAGUCUGACAUGUGUGCUAUUCAACGGGCGACUAUACCCGUAAGGCACAACAAACAUGAUUGGUGGGAUCCCCCCGAGGUGUGCACCUCCAACCGACCUUGAUCUUCUGAGAAUGGUUCGAGUGUGAGCAUACCUGUUAGGACCCGAAAGAUGGUGAACUAUGCCUGAGCGGGGCGAAUCCAGAUGAAACUCAGGUGGAGGCCCGAAGCGAUACUGACGUACAAAUCGUUCGUCUGACUUGGGUAUAGGGGCGAAAGACUAAUUGAACCGUCUAGUAGCUGGUUCUCUCCAAAGUUUCCCUCAGGAUAGCUAGAGCUCGCGUGCGAGUUCUAUUGGGUAAAGCUAAUGAUUAGAGGCCUCGAAAGCGCAACGCCCUCGACCCAUUCUCAAACUUUAAAUAGGUAGGACGGCGCGGCUGUUUGGUUGAGCCGCACCACGGAAUAAAGAGCUCUAAGUUGGCCAUUUUUGGUAAGCAGAACUAGCGAUGCAGGAUGAACCAAAAGUCGGGUUACGGUGCCAAACUGUGCACUAACCUAGAUCCCACAAAGGGUGUUGGUCGAUUAAGACAGCAGGACGGUGGUCAUGGAAGUCCAAAUCCGCUAAGCAGUGUGUAACAACUCACCUGCCAAAUACACUAGGCUCGAAAAUGGAUGGAGCUUAAGCGCGAGACCUACACCCGGCCGUCGGGGCAAAUGCUAGGCCCCGAUAAGUAGGAGGGCGCGGCGGUAGCUGUAAAACCUUGGGUGCGAUCCCGGGUGGAGCGGUCGUCGGUGCAGAUCUUGGUGGUAGUAGCAAAUAUUCAAAUGAGAACUUUGAUGGCCAAUGAUGGGAAAGGUUCUAUGUUAACGGCAGUUGCACAUGGGUUAGUCGAUCCUAAGGGUUGGGGAAACCCCGACAGACAGCGCAUUUCGCGCGUGCUCCGAAAGGGAAUCGGGUUAAAAUUCCUGAACCGGGACGUGGAGGUCGACGGCAACGUUAGGAAGUCCGGAGAUGUCGGUGGGAGCCUUAGGAAGAGUUAUCUUUCUGUUUAACAGCCUGGCCACCCUGGAAUCAGCUCAGCCAGAGGUAGGUCCAGCGGCUGGAAGAGCACCGCACGUCGCGUGGUGUCCGGUGCGCUCCCGGCGGCCAUGUCGGUAUGCAGCGUGGGCGCAUGGCAACAUGCAUGGAUAGUCCAUACAAGCGACGAGUACCCGUGUAGCAACAUCGGUGGCACUUCAUUGUACGCUCAUGUCGGUUAUCGAUGGCGUCGUCCGCGACAGAGCUACUGGUGCUUGAAUUCGGAUGAGGCUGUGCUAUCGUGCGAGCAUCGAGUCCUGGAUGCUGCCCUCGAGGCAAGAUCUAGGCACUGCACGCAUGCGACCGAGCCCUAUCCGCUGACGAGCACCGGCGGCCGUCGUGGGCGACGCCCGUGCAUGAGCCUCGACGUGCCUUCAUUUCCUCUGCUCCCACCAAGGGCGGGCUAUCAUGUCAAGCGGGACUUACUUCAGCCUUGCAACGUCCGCGUGGGCAGCAGCGCACAUCAUCUAUUGCUGGGCGUUGGGGCCGGUGCUGGGCGUGCAUCGAUGGAGCAUUUGGAUGCACGACACGUGAGUUGUGUUCGGCACGUGCGGUAGGUUGGAUCCCUGCUCGAGCAGCGACGUCCUGACCUGCCUGCCAUCUCAGUCACGGGGCAAGCACAAUGUAGGAUUGCUCGAAGUCGGUUUCCUGUGCUGCAUGCAUUAUAAAGUUAAAUCGAUCACCUUUCGCCCAUCGCAUUUUGUGCGCGGGGAAAAUCAAAAGGCCACCCUUGCAUCCCAUGCCUCCCUCGCUUCGUCGGGAGAUAUCGUGGUCCAUGAACGGCGGUCGGGAUACUCGGAUACGGUAGACGCAGUGGGCAUGGGGCCUUCAUCGACUCCUAUCUGCCCAGUACGAUGCUCCUUGCAAACGACGGUCGCGAUCGCCUUCAAUUCGUCUGCGCCCUCGCGGGCAGGCCGGGCUCAUGCGACGCCGACGUCGAUGAGGAAUGCUACCUGGUUAAUCCUACCAGUAGUCAUAUGCUUGUCUCAAAGAUUAAGCCAUGCAUGUGUAAGUAUGAACAAAUUCAGACUGUGAAACUGCUAAUGGCCUGCCAUGGUGGUGUCUUUGUUAAGAUGUUGCUUUUAGGACUCCGCCGGCACCUUAUGAUAAAUCAAAGUUUUUGGGUUUCGGUGGGAGUAUGGUCGCAAGGCUGUAACUUAAACGAAUUGACGGAUGGGCACCACCAGGAGUGGAGCCUGUGGCUUAAUUUGACUCAACACGGGGAAACUUACCAGGUCCAAACAUAGUAAGGAUUGACAGAAUGA